UACGGGGGGAGCAAGCGUUGUUCGGAUUUACUGGGCGUAAAGGGCGCGUAGGCGGCCACCGCAAGUCGGUUGUGAAAUCUCUGGGCUUAACCCAGAAAGGUCAACUGAUACUGUGCGACUAGAGUGCAGAAGGGGCAACUGGAAUUCUCGGUGUAGCGGUGAAAUGCGUAGAUAUCGAGAGGAACACCUGCGGCGAAGGCGGGUUGCUGGGCUGACACUGACGCUGAUGCGCGAAAGCCAGGGGAGCGAACGGG
rnacentral:rRNA from 1 species